CAGAGCUUUGGAGCAUGAAAUGAAAGCAAAUCCUCUUUUGUACAUGUGCGUCUGGGACACCUCCCUUUGUUGCGUCACACACCCAUGUGUAAAGUUCUUGAUGAGCGAUUUACGAGAAUGUGAUGGCCCAGAGGACCAGCAGCGUCCACAGGGACAGGAAGUGAGCGGCGAUGUAGCAGGGCAGGACAGAGGCAAAGAGGGACACACACACCACACGUGGGCCAAUCAGGAACAGGUUCCACAGGAAGUAGAUUAUAGAGGAAGACCAUCUCAUCUUAAGCUUCUCAGGGAGGAACGCACGCAUGCUGCGAUGGACUGCAUCUCCUGCAUCUCUAUGAUGAGAGCCAUCAUCAGGAUGAUCUGUGGAGCACUCUCAGAGAACGCCUCGAACAGACGCAACAUGCUGAGGUCAUGAUUCAUGUAUACGGUGACCGGCUUCUGGAAACGGUUUUUGGAGGACUCAGAAUACCAGAUCCAGCUGAAGAUCUGCAGGAGAACCGAGGAACUGAGCAGAAGAAAUAUCAACAAUCCCAUGGAGAAGUAUUUCUCUUCUUCAUAGAGGCACUGUAUGGCCCACAGGUCCAGCACCACGUCCACGAGGUAAAAGAUAAGAGUCAGCAGAGAAAAGAAGACGUCUGAGAACGUUAAGUUGAAAGGAAAGCCUUCCUCCAUGGCAUGAGCCUGGACGUUUUCUGUGUAACCUAGCACAGCUUUGGAGUACGAAAUGAAAACAAAUCCACUGUAUGUAAGGGUGUGUGAGAGGUGCUUCCUUUUGUUGCGUCACGUAGCUGAAUGUGAUUUCUGUGCACAGUUUGUUGACAAUGAUUCAUAGGAAUGGAAUGGGGGGGAAAAAUGACAAGGUAAAAGAAUUGACACACAUUAAACACACAUAACAACCAGAAAACUCUAUAUUGACAUACAUACUAACGAAUGUACACAUGCAUUACAUGCACUUUUUAAAUAAUCUUGGACUGAACAGCAGUAAAACUGGAAAAUCUCCGAUCAUAACCAGCCAUGCCCAUCUCCGAUCAUACCAUCAUAGGUCCCGCCCAUGCCCAAGGGAGGUACGUGCAUGCUGAUGGACGAGAUAGAGGGAACAGGACGGAGUAGCAACUUUUCUGAACACCACUGAUUAACUUGUACACCACACUGCUGCUGAAUUCACAGUGCUUUUGGCUGUAAUUCAAAUCCAAGGUUAAUAAUAAAUGGAUUUUAAAGUGUGCUAUUAUUUUACAAAGAAAAACAUGUAAUUCUUGUCCUGUAAGGAGAUGUUUAUUUAACAUUAAUGGAAGAAGUAUCCAGUCUGCUAAUUUACAGAGAAAAACAUCCAAUCUAAUUGGAAGGAACUUCAUUAUGCAGCAAGACAAUGACCCAAAACACACUGCCGACACAACAAAGGACUUCAACAGGGGAAAGAAGUGGAAGAAAGUGGAAAAAGUGGCAAAGUUAAUCGCCAGGCCUUAACCCAAUUCAGCAGCAUUUUACCUCCUGAAGAAGAGACUGAAGGGAGAAACCUCCCAAAACAAACAACAACAGAAAGAAGUACAAGCCUGGACAAGCAUCACAAAAGAAGAAUGCGACAACAGUUUGGUGAUGUCAGUGCGUUGCCAGCUUGAUGCAGUUAUUGCAAGCGAGGGCUAUGCGACCUAAUAUUAAGAGUUAUUUACUUUAAUUUACUUUAAGACUAUAUGUUCCUAUACUUUUGCUCACUUACAAACUGCACGCAAAGUACAGUACAUUGUCCUUAACCAUUAGAGGGCAAAAGCUUACCUAACGAUCUCUCCCUCUCUCUCCCUCUCUCUCCCUCUCUCUCCAUCUCUCUCUCUCUCUCUCUCUCCAUCUCUCUCCAUCUCUCUCUCUCCCUCACUCUCUGUCGAGCUACACAUGCUACUUCUGAGAUGCCAGUGAUCCUGACCCCUUCUGCUCCUCCUCGCUGCCUGAUCCAUCCUGAUGCCCUACUUCUGGUUGGAGUUCUUAUCGGUUGAGUUCUGCUGGGGGUGGCCCCAUAUGGACGGCCUGAAGAACCAUUUGGAUUGCUGGGGAUGGCGCCACCUGGGGCUGUGGAGAUGCCUUGGGGAUCACACAUGGGGAGCUGUACUGUAAUGGCUUGGGACCGCGAUUGCUGUAGUGGCUUUGGGGCUGCGGUUGCCAUGAGCACCUUCGUACUCAGGACUCCAUCAGUGGACGGUGGAUAGAUUUUAGCCAACCGGACUUAUUGUGAAUACUGUGAUGAAUUUAUUGGUUGCACAAUUGCACUAUUUGUCCAUAUAGUACACAAUAAUAGAAGGGAUUUAUUUAUAAUUGCACUAUCCGUGAAUUGAAUUGAACCUACAAAUUGGGUGGUCUAACAGCAAAGGUGCCAUGUUGUUUAACAAAUCCAGAUGUAAAUAUCAGGAAAUGAAAGCUGAAAUUCUGAUCGAUCGUCGCAUAUUCAUCUUUUGAUCUCAAACCCAAAUGUCUUCAAUGUAUAGCAAAAACAAAAGAAUUGGCCUUGAUGUUCCAAUACCUUCAGUGGGGACUGUAUAUAUGGUUUUUGAAAAUGAUUUUCCAAAUUUUUAAAAAAACUGAGCAAAGCAAAUACAGUUACAAAAAUCAUUUUUUAUUAUCGUUCCACAUUUUGACUGAACAGAGAAAAAAUAAAUAAUCAAAUCAGCUGA